rnacentral:rRNA from 1 species
AUGUCUUGCGCGGCGGCGGAGGCCGGGCUGGUGGCCAUGGACUGCGUGGUGGUGUGCUGCUGCUGCCCGUGCCUGGUGCUGCAGAUCACCGUGUUCCUCUUCGUCCGGCUGCCCCGGAAGGUGGUGGUCAAGUCCAAGAGGGUCUUUCUGCGGCGAUGGCACAGGAGGAGGAGGAGGAGAUCGGCAUCCGCCGCCGCGAAGAGGCUCUCCAGAAGCGGCAGCACGGCCUCGUCCUCCGGCAUGAGGCGGCUCGAGGAGCUGCUGGACGGCGAUUUCAGAGCCACCUUCAGGGAUAUCAACGGAGGGGAGUGCAGCGGCAGCGACGGCGACGUCCGCGGUAGCUGGAAGGAGAAAUGCUUCGCCAUGGACGACUACGAUGGCGGUGUCGGCUGGAAGCAGAGGUGCUUCGCCGUCGACAGCUGCGACGACGACGGCGUGUGGGAGGCGCUGGUGGGGCAGGAGGGGCUCUUCUGGUUCGGGAGCUUCUGGGGCCGGACGGAGCAGGGCGACCCCGUGUCUUCCGAGGAUCAGAUGUACGCAAGCUUGAGCCUGCCGGUAGUUCUAGAGAGAGUGCGGGAUUAG